UCCCUCACAGGGUUGCACCUGGAGAGUUUUCAGUACUCUACCGGUCUCGGCCAUAGGAGGGAGGGUCAAACAGAGGUAUACCCAUUCCAUUCCUAUCUCGGGCAGUGGUUAGCGAGUGGAAGGCAAUCUGCUACAAAU